GGCGGGCGGCGGGCUGGGCCGCCUGCCUUAUCGGCCGGCCUCUUCCGUCAGAUAACUAGUGACGGGACCAGAGGGAGCGGCCUCGGGUUGCGCCAGGGGAGGUUCAGGUUGGAAGUGAGGAGACAUUUCUUCUCAGAAGGAGCAGUCAGGCGUUGGGACGGGUUGCCCAGGGAGGUGGUGGCGUCACCGUCCCUGGGGGUGUUCAAGGAAAGGUUGGACGUGGCGCUUAGGGAUAUGGUUUAGUGGGUGACAUUGGUGGUAGGGGGAUGGUUGGACCAAUGGUCUUGGAGGUCUCUCCCACCCCUAACGAUCCUGUGAUCCUCCUCUUGGUGUCCCCAUUAGUACCUGAAGCUCGGGGCAGCAGCUUAUCUGCACCUCCCGUGGCCUCGUUUACUUUCAGAGUAUGCCGUCAGCAACACCUGUGCAGGCAAACCUGCGUUCACAGGCGCCUGUUAACUUCUUAACUCGGUUAUGCGAUUGCACGGGCAGUCAGAGUUUAACCUGAGAAACGUUUUCAUGCGGGUGGUGGCAGACUGAUGUGGAACUGAAGCUGUCAAUAUUCAGAAUUAAAUCUCCAGACUGACCUUUACACUAAAAAUUCAUUACUAAAGUACUAAUUGCAUCAACUGGCCAAAAGGCAACGUGAUCGUAGUGUAGCAAAGACGCUCAGUAGCCCAAGACUAUAUGCUGUGGUGUUGAAUUGCUUUUUUGGAUGUCUGUUCUGGUGAAGUCAGAGGAGAAACACUGUUGUCAAAGAUUGUGGCUGUUGAGGAUUUUUCAUUUCGUGUUGCCAACCUAUUUCAAGUAUACAGGUCAAUGGCUACGUGGAAUACUAAAGUCAUGUUACUAAUUUGGGGUGUGUUUUCUUAACAUCCAUUUAGUAGAGAUGUUUUAGAGUGAAGUACUAAGAUAAGGUCCAAAACCAUAACCUGUCAUUUACUGAACUUACUUGUGUUUUAGUUCAUGAGUUCAUUUUCCAGAAAAUGUACUGAAGGGGUUUAGAGAUUUUAUGCUACUUCAAAUACGUUUUUUCCCCAAAAUAUCACUGGUCUUUGAAUUCAAACGCAUUAAUAUUUGCAUGCAUUAAUAUUUGCAUUUACAUUUGCAUCCUGCUGUCUUGAUUGUAGAAGCCUGCCUUGUGCCAUCUGAUUCAUGGAUCAGUGACAGUCAGCCUGUAUAACCUUCGUACCUUACAGUUAAUAUCUGUGAAUUAUUUUCAAGGGAAAAGAUCUCUCCUGCCAGAUGUGUUGUGUGGCUGCCGUGCCUAACGAACAUGACACAUAAGCAAGGCGCUGAACGCUGUAGGCACAUCCUGUAGUGGAAGCUAUUCUUAGAGCAGCGCUGAUGUGACUAAAUGUGAAACGUGGAUGCUCCGUAAGGAACCUGAGACGCUGUGAAACUUGAAUGCCGUGUUUUGGUGGUCAGAAGGUGCCUCAGAGUAACCUACAGCCCCCUUCUAGCAUCCAGCUCCACAUGCACAACUUCUGAGAGACUUCAGAUAUUCGUAUUUGGGGAGAGGCAGGAGGCAUGAAGCUCAUGUUUCUUUUUUUUGUUGUUGUUGCUUCAUUUUUGGGGGUAAAUUUUGUUAUUUCAUAUUAAAUAUUUCAGCU